AUAAUCCGUAAAAGAACGAAUUGCAUUUAAUUCAGCGAUAUUUCUGACUCGUUAGCUUCUCAAAUGAAAAGAAACUUGUAAUUGCCAGCGCUGAUUCGAUCCAGUGAGAGUAGAGGUUGGCUGCCUCUCACGUUUCAAGGGAGAAGGCCACCACUUUAACGAAAAGGAGCUUCACAGUUCUCUUUAACGAGGUAACGUUUUUCUCUGGCUAUUUUCCGGCUGCAGAUGUUACUCAUCGCGAAGUGAGUUGGCAGGUUAUGAAUGCACGCUAUUUUUGAGUCCUUGACUGAAAUAUGCGGAGGAGAAAAACAAGCCACCAGCCAAAUUUUAAAGCCGUUAAAGUAGUGGUACUUGGUCAGGAUGGAGUUGGAAAAUCAGGUCAGUCGUUGAGUACCUUGAAAAUUU